AGAGAAACAUGAUGGAUGCUGUCACUGGGAGAAGUUAAAGCUGAUAUACUUUCUACAUGUGUAUGUCGUUUUGUGCAACAUCUCGACAAAGGCUCAGAGAUUUGUUUCCUUGUGUAAUGCGGCACAUGGUAACAUUGCAGUCAUGAGAUGGCACUAUGUUAAAAAUAGAUUCUUGACCAGAUAAUACAGCUAUUUCAUUCCACCAAGCCAUCAAGCUUGACUUACUGAGUUGGGUUUUAUACCGGUUUUAGCAAUAUUCCAACAAUACCAGAAAUGGGCUUCACUCAUUGUACCCAUGUGGGGAAUCGAAUCCGGGCCUUCGGCAUGACGAGCAUCAAGCUUGACCAUUUAAUCCAAUAAAUGACCUUUUACGACCAGCACAGGUACAACCAUACACAUUCAAAGAGAACUUGUGUAGACCUUCUUAUCACUAAACUUCAGAACAUGCAGACUACACUGUUUACUAUCACUAUUUUAUAAUUCCUCUCUAUGUCCUCAAAACAUUUCAGCAGUCUGGUGGAUUAGCAGGAGUGUUCGAAAGCUGAAUAUACUGUAGGAUCAUAAGAAAAAUCUGUGAUUCUAACUCAUGAUCCUUGAAUCCUGGUACACAAAGCAACGCAACUCUCCAAAGAGAAUUGCAACACCUGUAUAGUUAGAAGUCUUCCAUGGUUGUACACCAUGGUUACCCUGGAUACUAUGAGGCAUUGUUAUGUAAUGUUACUCCAUGAAUGUUGAGGUAGGGAGCGGCA